GGUCACGCCUCGUCUCUACUGCGGCCCCCUGAAGACCUUGAGGAGGAGGACCUGGCACCUGAGGAGAAGGCUGUGUGUGACCAGGGAGGAGCUUCGGGGUGGACGGACUGCGCCACUUCCCGGGGCUAAUGCUCCUCAGCCUGAGGUUGCGGACUGGCCCUCAAGGUCUACACAUUUGAUGAUGAGCAUAUCUUCUGGAAGAACAUGGUGUUCUUCCACACAGGGCUCAUAAGCACCCAGCCCAAUGAGAAUCCUGCAAGAGUCAGAAGAGCCAUUGGAGCUGUGGACUGACUAGUGCCUCACACCACCCUGGAUUUACAUGCAAGCUCUGCCUACCCUUGGAAGUUGGAGAAGUUUGACCUGCAGGGACAUCGUUCAAGAAAAAAGCUGGAGUCCAGCAAGUAUAUUGCUUUUACUGCAGACUUAAUGCAACUUAAUAAAUUCAUUUUCAAGCCACUUUGGAGGACAGGGAUAAAUGUGCAUAUUUCCUACUUUGUCUGUCUAACCACACACAUACCUAUAUGCAUGCUUGUGUGUGCAUUUUUGUAUGUGAUUCCAUAAUCUUUUUUCUCAACUAUCUUAUUCAAGAAUAUAAGAUCCCUCACUUCAUACAUCUUGUUAAAUGAUAUUUCAAGUAAUAUUAGAGGAGUGUGCGGUGCAAGGUGCUUGUUAAUAAAUUGUUUUGUUUCUGCCCCAUGUACUCUUUCCUAUUUACCUUAAUGUCAAUUUCAAUAUUCCCUAUUGAGAAUGAAAUUGAUGUAAAUUAUAAGUUUCAUGAUUUAAUUUUUAUAACCUAAUUGCUGAAUUGGAAGGCACUUGGCAUUUAUAAUGGGCCAAUUUUAAAAAUAACUAAAGCAUACUUUUUGUGUCAUAUCAAUUAUUCUUAGUAAAAAUGUAUAUACUUACAGUACUUAACCCUUCCUUUGCAAAGAACAUAUUGUUGUUCUGGAAGAUAACUCAGAAUGAGUGAGAGGAGGCACACACUCUUGUGCAAGAUAAUUUUUGGAAAACGUGCAGGUUCAGUGCCUGUGGGAAGCCAGAAAUCACAAUCACUACAUAGCAAGGAGGGUGAUUGGCUGGUCUUGAGGAGUUACUAAGCAGAUAAAGGCAAUGUUUCUCAGGACAGCCUUGGGCCAGUAACAACAAGAUUGGAUACUGUGAUUAGGCAAUUUGUUCAGCUGAUAGAAAAGGUACAGUGUUAUCUGUGGUUAAUCUAUGGGCCCGGGCAUUUGGGACAGUGAAAGAUCAUGGAGGGCACAGAACAUGUAUACUAAAUGGCUUCCAAUUAUGUGCAGAGAAAAUACAAGUUGAUGUCUCUAAAAGAAGGCUCAAUGAGAGGGUAAAUGUUCUUACAAAGAAUCACAUAGUUGUUUAAAAAGAAAACUGGGAUGGAAAAAGAAGACAGAACUAAAUGCAAUGUCAAGAGUAAAGGGAGAAAAUUGUCUCUAUCCUCAAAAAUUUAUGCUAAUAAAUGAUACACACAAGUACACAUAGAAGUAUCUUAGUCUGUUUGUGCUGCCAUAACAAAAAUAUCAUAGACUUAGUGACUUCAACUACAGAAAUUUAUUUUGUGUGUAUGUUGGGGUAGGGAGAUUUUAA